rnacentral:rRNA from 1 species
UCCUAUGGGAUGCAGCAGUGGGGAAUCUUGCGCAAUGGGCGAAAGCCUGACGCAGCCAUGCCGCGUGGAUGAUGAAGGUCUUAGGAUUGUAAAAUCCUUUCACCGGGGACGAUAAUGACGGUACCCGGAGAAGAAGCCCCGGCUAACUUCGUGCCAGCAGCCGCGGUAAUACGAAGGGGGCUAGCGUUGCUCGGAAUUACUGGGCGUAAAGGGCGCGUAGGCGGACAGUUAAGUUGGGGGUGAAAGCCCGGGGCUCAACCUCGGAAAUGCCUUCAAUACUGGCUGUCUUGAGUACGGGAGAGGUGAGUGGAACUCCGAGUGUAGAGGUGAAAUUCGUAGAUAUUCGGAAGAACACCAGUGGCGAAGGCGACUCACUGGCCCGUUACUGACGCUGAGGCGCGAAAGCGUGGGGAGCAAA